GCAGCAGCUAGGAAUAUUGGGCAAUGGGCGAAAGCCUGACCCAGCAACACCGCGUGAAGGACGAAGGCCUUCGGGUUGUAAACUUCUUUUCGAGGGAAAGAGAAAGGACGGUACCCUCGGAAUAAGGCCCGGCUAACUACGUGCCAGCAGCCGCGGUAAUACGUAGGGGCCAAGCGUUAUCCGGAUUUACUGGGCGUAAAGCGCAUGUAGGCGGUCGAUCAAGUCGGAUGUGAAAGCUCCUGGCUUAACUGGGAGAGGUCAUUCGAAACUAGUCGGCUGGAGGGUGGUAGAGGAGAGCGGAAUUCCAGGUGUAGCGGUGAAAUGCGUAGAUAUCUGGAGGAACACCAGUGGCGAAAGCGGCUCUCUGGACCAUUCCUGACGCUGAGAUGCGAAAGCCAGGGGAGAGAACGGGAUUAGAAACCCCGGUAUUCCUGGCCGUAAACGAUGUCAACUAGGCGUAGGAGGUUAUAAACCCCUUCUGUGCUGUAGCAAACGCGUUAAGUUGACCGCCUGGGGACUACGGCCGCAAGGCUAAAACUCAAAGGAAUUGACGG
rnacentral:rRNA from 1 species